UAAGCAUAUCAAUAAGCGGAGGAAAAGAAACCAACAGGGAUUGCCCUAGUAACGGCGAGUGAAGCGGCAACAGCUCAAAUUUGAAAUCUGGCUUCGGCCCGAGUUGUAAUUUGUAGAGGAAGCUUUUGGCGCGGCACCUACUGAGUCCCCUGGAACGGGGCGCCAGAGAGGGUGAGAGCCCCGUAUAGUGGGAUGCCUAGCCUCUGUAAAGCUCCUUCGACGAGUCGAGUAGUUUGGGAAUGCUGCUCAAAAUGGGAGGUAAAUUUCUUCUAAAGCUAAAUAUUGGCCAGAGACCGAUAGCGCACAAGUAGAGUGAUCGAAAGAUGAAAAGCACUUUGAAAAGAGGGUUAAACAGCACGUGAAAUUGUUGAAAGGGAAGCGCUUGUGACCAGACUUGCGCCCGGUUGAUCAUCCGGUGUUCUCACCGGUGCACUCCUCCGGGCUCAGGCCAGCAUCGGUUCUCGCGGGGGGAUAAAGGCCCAGGGAACGUAGCUCUUCCGGGAGUGUUAUAGCCCUGGGUGCAAUGCCCUCGCGGGGACCGAGGUUCGCGCAUCUGCAAGGAUGCUGGCGUAAUGGUCAUCAGCGACCCGUCUUGAAACACGGACCAAGGAGUCAAGGUUUUGCGCGAGUGUUUGGGUGUCAAACCCGCACGCGUAAUGAAAGUGAACGUAGGUGAGAGCUUCGGCGCAUCAUCGACCGAUCCUGAUGUAUUCGGAUGGAUUUGAGUAGGAGCGUUAAGCCUUGGACCCGAAAGAUGGUGAACUAUGCUUGGAUAGGGUGAAGCCAGAGGAAACUCUGGUGGAGGCUCGCAGCGGUUCUGACGUGCAAAUCGAUCGUCAAAUCUGAGCAUGGGGGCGAAAGACUAAUCGAACCAUCUAGUAGCUGGUUACCGCCGAAGU
rnacentral:rRNA from 1 species